rnacentral:lncRNA from 1 species
AUGUUUUAUUUCCUUGUUUUCAGCAUGAAUGUCCAGGGAGACUAUCAACCAAUUGAAGCUGGAGGUUUCAUUAAGAUCUGCUCUCUGAGAUUGCGAGAGUUUUACAGAAAUCGUCAAAAGCAGAUUUGUUCCUCAACGCCAUAUUAGAAGUUACUAUUCAUAUUUGUCCAUCACAAAUGAAAUUAGUGGCUGUAAUGGAUACUGGAUGUUCUAAUUAUUUUUCUGUUCUCUUUUUAGUAAUCAGUUAUAUUUUAGAAGUAUCAAUCCGUAACUUUCCAAAAUUAAACUACCUUACAAACAACAACGCGACCACCACCAUUGAGAAUACUAUCGUGAGCCAAUGAGGUAGCCUGUAUGUAGCCAUGUAAGCUGCUCAGUGUUGCCAUCAAAUUCUUUAAAACAGAGACCAUGUGUUUUAUGUCUUGAAUUUUUAGUUCAUCAUCUUAUCCCCAUAAUAAAGGUGGAAUCAUGCCCCAAACUGCUGGCAAACUGAAAUUGUUUAACAGGUUUGUUCCAACAGAUGUAAAACAAUAACUAAAUCAUUAUCAACAUCAUUAA